AUUGAACGCUGGCGGCAGGCCUAACACAUGCAAGUCGAACGGUAACAGGAAGCAGCUUGCUGCUUCGCUGACGAGUGGCGGACGGGUGAGUAAUGUCUGGGAAGCUGCCUGUUGGAGGGGGAUAACUACUGGAAACGGUAGCUAAUACCGCAUAAUGUCGCAAGACCAAAGAGGGGGACCUUCGGGCCUCUUGCCAUCGGAUGUGCCCAGAUGGGAUUAGCUUGUUGGUGGGGUAACGGCUCACCAAGGCGACGAUCCCUAGCUGGUCUGAGAGGAUGACCAGCCACACUGGGACUGAGACACGGUCCAGACUCCUACGGGAGGCAGCAGUGGGGAAUAUUGCACAAUGGGCGCAAGCCUGAUGCAGCCAUGCCGCGUGUAUGAAGAAGGCCUUCGGGUUGUAAAGUACUUUCAGCGGGGAGGAAGGGAGUAAAGUUAAUACCUUUGCUCAUUGACGUUACCCGCAGAAGAAGCACCGGCUAACUCCGUG
rnacentral:rRNA from 1 species